rnacentral:rRNA from 1 species
UGAGGAAUAUUGGUCAAUGGACGAGAGUCUGAACCAGCCAAGUAGCGUGCAGGAUGACGGCCCUAUGGGUUGUAAACUGCUUUUGUUUGGGAAUAAUCGACAUUACGUGUAAUGUUUUGCAUGUACCAUUCGAAUAAGGACCGGCUAAUUCCGUGCCAGCAGCCGCGGUAAUACGGAAGGUCCAGGCGUUAUCCGGAUUUAUUGGGUUUAAAGGGAGUGUAGGCGGUUGGUUAAGCGUGUUGUGAAAUGUAGAUGCUCAACAUCUGACUUGCAGCGCGAACUGGCUGACUUGAGUACACACAACGUAGUCGGAAUUCAUGGUGUAGCGGUGAAAUGCUUAGAUAUCAUGAAGAACUCCGAUUGCGAAGGCAGCUUACGGGAGUGUUACUGACGCUUAAGCUCGAAGGUGCGGGUAUCGAACAGG